rnacentral:piRNA from 1 species
UGCCUGCCCAGAUCUAAGCUCCCGG